rnacentral:rRNA from 1 species
UACAGAGGGUGCGAGCGUUGUUCGGAAUUAUUGGGCGUAAAGCGCAUGUAGGCGGGGCGUUACGUCGCGUGUGAAAUCCCCAGGCUCAACCUGGGAAGUGCGCGCGAAACUGGCGUCCUUGAGUGCCGGAGAGGGUGGCGGAAUUCCCGGUGUAGAGGUGAAAUUCGUAGAUAUCGGGAGGAACACCAGAGGCGAAGGCGGCCACCUGGACGGACACUGACGCUGAGACGCGAAAGCGUGGGGAGCAAACAGG